GAUCCAUCAAUAAAGGAUAAUGUUGGAUCAGUGUUUCAAUAUUUUAUAUCUUUUAUUAGAUGUUCAUGUGGUUUGGUUAUUUGCCUUUUGGUUGAAAGUACACUGAGAGAGGACUUUUCGUUAGUGAUCUUAAUAAUUUUUUUUUUCACAUGAAUGUAAUUUUUUCAUCUAAUUGAAUACAAUCUAUUUGUGUAUGAUUGUCAGUCCAAAGAGGGAGAGAGGAAAGAGGGGAACGUGAGGAGAAAGUACAAGGUCAGGAAGAACCAGAUCACCAUUGUGAUGAACCAGAAUGAACCCCUCAGUUUCUUGCACCGUCACAAUGAGGCUUUUUCCACCGAGCCUCUGAAAAACACUGGCAAAGGAGCUCCUCUGGGCUUUUACCACAUCCAGAAUAUUUCUGUCGAAGUUACAGAGUCUUUUAUUGAGAACAUCAAGAGCAAGCCCGUCGUGUUUGAAGUGUUCAGCCACUACCAGCAGCACCCGCUGCACCUCCAUGGCCAGGACGUGAACAGCAUCCAGGAAAUACUAUCCUAUUCCCAUCUGUUGCUUAGAAACUGUCCUGAGGAGACAGCUUCAGGAUCAAUGACAUGUCAUUCACACCAAUGAAGACUUCCAGCCACCAAGUUGAACACCAUCACCAAAUCCAACCUGGGUCAGUGUGUCAGCAAGUACGACCUGCUGGUCUGGUUUGAGAUCAGCGAGUUGGAGCCCACUGGAGAGUGCAUCCCAGCCAUCGUGGAUCACAGUGGAGGCCUGCCCUGCCAUGGUACCUACCUGCUGCACCAGAUCUGUUGUGUCCAAGAAGGGUUUUCUAAGCUUCGUGGAGCCUCGCUCUAACUCAUAGGUGAAGCAUUUUGUGGUUGUUCGCCGGCCCUACGUCUUCAUCUACAACAGCGACAAGGACCCCGUGGAGCGAGGCGCCGUCAACCUCUCCACAGCACAGGUGGAAUACAGCAAAGACCAGCAGGCCAUGCUUAAGAUGCCCAACACAUUUGCAGUGUACACAAAACAUCGAGGCAUCCUCCUGCAGGCCAACAACGAGAAAGACAUGAACGAAUGGCUGUACGCUUUUAGUCCUCUGCUAGCAGGAAGGAUAAGAUCUAAGCUGGCGAGGCGGCGCAGCGGCCUGACGAAGAACUGAGCGGGCGGAGCGGUUCCACUGUUGUCCACGUCAUACGUAGAUCCUCCUCAAUCUGUGUACAUACGCCGCCUCUAAACCCCCAAUAGUGCCAGUGUCAGUUAGUGAGUCAGUAAAAUACUCAUGCAUUUGUGUUAACAUUAAAACUGCAGACUAACUAGAGACAAACAAGCGAGGAUCGCUUCAUAUCUCAGCAGUUUAAAAAAACAAACAAUGACCAAUUGUUCCUGCAGGAGUAGAUUUGGGCCCCUUUUUGCUUUUUCAUCCCAAGGAAUAAAAACGAGGUUACAAGGAGAUGAGGAGGAGGAGGACUAGGAGGAUGAAAACGAACUAAGGAGAAAACUUGAUUUGUACAUCGGGUGUGUUCUGGGAUCAGUGUGUUAGUUAACCCUCAUUUAACACAUCCCUCUCUGCUCCUCUAGCUUGCUCUAUCUCACUGAGAAUCAGAAGCCUUGACAUUUACUGCUAUUAACUUUACACUCUUGUUGUCAAGACGCAAAGAAAACACAGUGAAAAGGUUAGAAGGACGUAAGGAAAAAAGAA